UACGUAGGUGGCAAGCGUUGUUCGGAAUUACUGGGCGUAAAGCGUGCGCAGGCGGCUGCUCAAGUCAGGGGUGAAAGCCCAGAGCUCAACUCUGGAAUUGCCUUUGAGACUGAGUGGCUUGAGUACGGGAGAGGUGAGUGGAAUUCCCAGUGUAGAGGUGAAAUUCGUAGAUAUUGGGAAGAACACCGGUGGCGAAGGCGGCUCACUGGCCCGUAACUGACGCUCAUGCACGACAGCGUGGGGAUCAAACAGG
rnacentral:rRNA from 1 species